rnacentral:rRNA from 1 species
GAUUGAACGCUGGCGGGAUGCUUUACACAUGCAAGUCGGACGGCAGCACGGACUUCGGUCUGGUGGCGAGUGGCGAACGGGUGAGUAAUGUAUCGGAACGUGCCCAGUAGCGGGGGAUAACUACGCGAAAGCGUGGCUAAUACCGCAUACGCCCUACGGGGGAAAGCGGGGGACCUUCGGGCCUCGCACUAUUGGAGCGGCCGAUAUCGGAUUAGCUAGUUGGUGGGGUAACGGCUCACCAAGGCAACGAUCCGUAGCUGGUUUGAGAGGACGACCAGCCACACUGGGACUGAGACACGGCCCAGACUCCUACGGGAGGCAGCAGUGGGGAAUUUUGGACAAUGGGGGCAACCCUGAUCCAGCCAUCCCGCGUGUGCGAUGAAGGCCUUCGGGUUGUAAAGCACUUUUGGCAGGAAAGAAACGGCGCCGGCUAAUACCUGGCGCUAAUGACGGUACCUGCAGAAUAAGCACCGGCUAACUACGU